rnacentral:rRNA from 1 species
CAGUCGCCGCGGUAAUACGUAGGUGGCAAGCGUUGUCCGGAAUUAUUGGGCGUGAAGGGCUCGCAGGCGGUUUCUUAAGUCUGAUGUGAAAGCCCCCGGCUCAACCGGGGAGGGUCAUUAGAAACUGGGAAACUUGAGUGCAGAAGAGGAGAGUGGAAUUCCACGUGUAGCGGUGAAAUGCGUAGAGAUGUGGAGGAACACCAGUGGCGAAGGCGACUCUCUGGCCUGUAACUGACGCUGAGGAGCGAAAGCGUGGGGAGCGAACAGGAUUAGAUACCCCAGUAGUCCCUGUCUCUUAUAA